rnacentral:rRNA from 1 species
AUUGAACGCUGGCGGCAGGCCUAACACAUGCAAGUCGAGCGGAUGAAGGGAGCUUGCUCCUGGAUUCAGCGGCGGACGGGUGAGUAAUGCCUAGGAGUCUGCCUGGUAGUGGGGUAUAACGUCCGGAAACGGUCGCUAAUACCGCAUACGUCCUGAGGGAGAAAGUGGGGGAUCUUCGGACCUCACGCUAUCAGAUGAGCCUAGGUCGGAUUAGCUAGUUGGUGGGGUAAAGGCCUACCAAGGCGACGAUCCGUAACUGGUCUGAGAGGAUGAUCAGUCACACUGGAACUGAGACACGGUCCAGACUCCUCCGGGAGGCAGCAGUGGGGAAUAUUGGACAAUGGGCGAAAGCCUUAUCCAGCCAUGCCGCGUGUGUGAAGAAGGUCUUCGGAUUGUAAAGCACUUUUAGUUGGGAGGAAGGGCAGUAAGUUAAUACCUUGCUGUUUUGACGUUACCAACAGAAUAAGCACCGGCUAACUUCGUG